rnacentral:rRNA from 1 species
CUACGGGCUGCUCCAGUGGGGAAUAUUGGACAAUGGGGGAAACCCUGAUCCAGCAAUGCCGCGUGUGUGAAGAAGGCCUGCGGGUUGUAAAGCACUUUCGGUUGGGAGGACUGCUUCUAGCACUAAUAUUGUUGGAAGUUGACGUUACCUUCAGAAGAAGCACCGGCUAACUCCGUGCCAGCAGCCGCGGUAAUAGUGGAGGGUGCAAGCGUGAAUCGGAAUUACUGGGCGUAAAGCGCGCGUAGGCGGCUAGAUCAGUCGGGUGUGAAAGCCCCGGGCUUAACCUGGGAACUGCAUCCGAUACUGUCUAGCUUGAGUACAGGAGAGGAGAGUGGAAUUCCACAUGUAGCGGUGAAAUGCGUAGAUAUGUGGAGGAACACCAAUGGCGAAGGCAGCUCUCUGGCCUGAUACUGACGCUGAGGUGCGAAAGCGUGGGGAGCAAACAGGAUUAGAUACCCUUGUAGUC